AACUUUCAGCAACGGAUCUCUUGGCUCUCGCAACGAUGAAGAACGCAUCGAAAUGCGAUACGUAUCAUGAAUUGCAGAACUCUGAAUGAUAAAUGUUUGAACGCACAUUGCGCCAGCCUUUGGUUGGCAUGUCUGUCUGAGAAUCUUCAAGUUUCUCUCUGAAGCAAUUUGCUUUUUGAGGCCCUUGACAGCCCUACAAUGCUAGGCUGUUGAAAUUAACGUACCGUCUCGCAGCCUGAGGGGGUUGGGUGAUUUUGACCAAUUUCAAUUUUACCGUAUCUCCCUUCAUCAGGCUUAAGCAUACUUGGUCUCAGAUCAGACAGGAGAACCCGCUGAACUUAAGCAUAUCAAUAAGCGGAGGCU
rnacentral:misc_RNA from 1 species